GCUCAGAAUGAACGCUGGCGGCGUGCUUAACACAUGCAAGUCGCACGAGAACACCUCAGCUUGCUGAGGUAAGUAAAGUGGCGCACGGGUGAGUAACGCGUGGGUAAUCUGUCCCUGGGUUCGGGAUAACUCCGCGAAAGCGGGGCUAAUACCGGAUGACAUCAUUGAGGCUUUGGUUUCAAUGAUUAAAGGUGGCCUCUCCAUGGAAGCUAUUGCUUGGGGGUGAGCCCGCGUACCAUUAGCUGGUUGGUAGGGUAAUGGCCUACCAAGGCGACGAUGGUUAGCUGGUCUGAGAGGAUGAUCAGCCACACUGGAACUGACACACGGUCCAGACUCCUACGGGAGGCAGCAGUGAGGAAUUUUGCGCAAUGGGGGGAACCCUGACGCAGCAACGCCGCGUGAGUGAUGAAGGCCUUCGGGUCGUAAAGCUCUGUCAAGUGGGAAGAAUCCAUCCUGGCCCAACACGUUGGGGUGUUGACGGUACCACUGAAGGAAGCACCGGCUAACUCCGUGCCAGCAGCCGCGGUAAUACGGAGGGUGCAAGCGUUAUUCGGAAUUAUUGGGCGUAAAGGGCGCGUAGGCGGCCAGGCAAGUCAGAUGUGAAAUCCCGGGGCUUAACCCCGGAAGUGCAUUUGAAACUGCUUGCGUUGAGUAUGGGAGAGGGAAGUGGAAUUCCUGGUGUAGCGGUGAAAUGCGUAGAUCUCAGGAGGAACACCGGUGGCGAAGGCGGCUUCCUGGACCAAUACUGACGCUGAGGCGCGAAGGCGUGGGGAGCAACCAGGAUUAGAUACCCUGGUAGUCCACGCGGCUAAACGGUGAUCACUAGGUGUAGCGGGUAUUGACCCCUGCUGUGCCGGAGUUAACGCUUUGAGUUGUCCGGCUGGGGAGUACGACCGCAGGUGUUAAACUCAACGGAUUUGCGGGGGCCCGCACAAGCGGUGCAGCUUGUGGUUUAAUUCGACGCAACGCGAAGAACCUAGCCUAGACAUGACAUGGGAGGGAAUAGUGAAAAAAGACGGGGAUUCGCGGUUCGGGGACCCCGAAGACAGGUUCUGCAUGGCCAUCGUCAGUUCGUAUCGUGAGAUAUUGGUUUAAGUCCGGCAACGAGCGCAACCCCUAUGUUCAGACACCAGCAUUGGGGAUGGGGACUCUGGAGAUACUGCCCCGGUCAACGGAGAGGAAGAUGGGGACGACGUCAAGUCCUCAUGACCCUUAUGCCUGGGCCUUAACACGAGCAACAAUAGGCGAUACAAAGCGACCGUCGCUGUGUGGCCCAAUCUCAAAAAGCCGUCCUCAAGUUCGGAUUGGAGUCUGCAACUCGACUCCAUGAAGCUGGAAUCGCUAGUAAUCGCGGAUCAGCAUGCCGCGGUGAUACGUUCCCGGGCCUUGUACACACCGCCCGUCACACCAUGAGAGUUGGUUGUACCAGAAGUCGUCGGG
rnacentral:rRNA from 1 species